rnacentral:rRNA from 24 species
GAAGGUCACGGCGAGACGAGCCGUUUAUCAUUACGAUAGGUGUCAAGUGGAAGUGCAGUGAUGUAUGCAGCUGAGGCAUCCUAACAGACCGGUAGACUUGAACCUUGUUCCUACAUGACCCGAUCAAUUCGAUCAGGCACUCGCCAUCUAUUUUCAUUGUUCAACUCUUUGACAACACGAAAAACCAUUGUUCAACUCUUUGACAACAUGAAAAAACCAAAGGCCUCUGCCCUGCCCUCCCUCUCUAUCUAUCCAAGGGAUGGAAGGGCAG